rnacentral:lncRNA from 1 species
UUUUACGACGAUUUAAUCCUACGUGGACUUUACGACGAUUUCAUCCUACGUGAACUUUACGACGAUUUCACCUGCGUGGACUUUACGACGAUUUCAUCCUACGUGGACUUUACGACGAUUUGUGCUUACGUGGAAAUUGCGAGGAAUCACAAAGGCCCGUGUUUUUUAAUACGAGGUAUUAACGAUGAUUUAGCUUACGUGGAAUUAACGAGGCUUGCUUUCCUAUAAAUAUACCCUCAACCCUCAUUCUCAAACCACACACAAACUCCCAAAUUACACCCUAUCUGAAAUCACAUUCCUUAGCAAAAUCCUAUUCAAAUUAUAAAUAUUUGAAAAAAAUAGGAAAAGGAUAAGAUAUUAGAAUUCAUGUGGGCGAGACUUACGUAUUAUAAUUGCUGGAAGUCUUGCCACAUGUUAUUCUGGUAUUUUGAUCCUUUUCCCUUUUUUUCUAGUUUUUACACUACGAGGUAUUUACGACGAUUUCUGCUUACGUGGAAUUAACGAGUGUUUUGUUUAAAUCCUUUUACGUGGUAUUUACGACGAUUUCAUCCUACGUGGUAUUUACGACGAUUUCAUCCUACGAGGAAUUUACGACGAUUUGUGCUUACGUGGAAUUAACGAGGUUAUGUUUAAAUCCCUAGAAUCCGAAACCCGAAACCCGAAACCCCAAACCCGAAACCCCAAACCCCAACCCCCAAACCCAAAACCCAAAACCCGAAACCCCAAACCCGAAACCCGAAACGAGUGUUAUGUUUAAAUCCCUAGAAUCCGAAACCCGAAACCCGAAACCCCAAACCCGAAACCCCAAACCCCAACCCCCAAACCCAAAACCCAAAACCCGAAACCCCAAACCCGAAACCCCAAACCCCAACCCCCAAACCCAAAACCCAAAACCCGAAACCCCAAACCCGAAACCCGAAACGAGUGUUAUGUUUAAAUCCCUGAAUCCAAAACCUGAAACCCGAAACCCCAAACCCCAUAUUUCUUAUUUUCUACUUCAUAUAUUCCAAACCCCAUCUUUAUUUCCAUUCCAAACCACAAUUCCCACAUUUGCUUAUUCAUAAAACAUACUCCCACAUUACCUUAUUCAUAAAACAAACCCCACAUUAUCUUA